GUCGAAGUCGCCCUGCUGUUGAAGUCGAGGAUGAAGUCCGGCUCCCGUAGGAGUCCGGAUGGAGUCUACCUGCAGUCGAAGUUGCCCUGCUUUUGAAAUCGAGGAUGAAGUCCGACUCCCGUAGGAGUCCGGACAGAGUCUACCUGCGGUCGAAGUUGCCCUGCUGUUGAAGUCGAGGACGAAGUCCGGCUCCCGUAGGAGUCCGGACUGUGUCUACCUGCGGUCGAAGUCGCCCUGCUGUUGAAGUCGAGGACGAAGUCCGGCUCCCGUAGGAGUCCGGACGGAGUCUACCUGCAGUCGAAGUCACCC
rnacentral:lncRNA from 1 species